AACAGGGAUUGCCUCAGUAACGGCGAGUGAAGCGGCAACAGCUCAAAUUUGAAAUCUGCCGCAAGGCCGAGUUGUAAUUUGUAGAGGAUGCUUCUGGGCAGCGGCCGGUCUAAGUCCCUUGGAACAGGACGUCAUAGAGGGUGAGAAUCCCGUAUGCGACCGGUUGGCACCCGUCACGUAGCUCCUUCGACGAGUCGAGUUGUUUGGGAAUGCAGCUCUAAAUGGGUGGUAAAUUCCAUCUAAAGCUAAAUACCGGCCAGAGACCGAUAGCGCACAAGUAGAGUGAUCGAAAGAUGAAAAGCACUUUGGAAAGAGAGUUAAAAAGCACGUGAAAUUGUUGAAAGGGAAGCGCAUGCAACCAGACUUGUCGGCGGUGUUCCGCCGGUCUUCUGACCGGUCUACUCGCCGCCGACAGGCCAGCAUCGUGUGGGUGUGCCGGAUAAAGGCGUCGGGAAUGUGGCCCCUCGGGGUGUUAUAGCCCGGCGCAUAAUACGGUGCCGCCCGCGCGAGGUCCGCGCUUCGGCUAGGAUGCUGGCGUAAUGGUCGUAUGCGGCCCGUCUUGAAACACGGACCAAGGAGUCUAACAUCUGUGCGAGUGUUCGGGUGUCAAACCCCUACGCGGAAUGAAAGUGAACGGAGGUGGGAGCUUCGGCGCACCAUCGACCGAUCCUGAU
rnacentral:rRNA from 1 species